rnacentral:rRNA from 1 species
UACGGAGGGGGCGAGCGUUAUUCGGAAUUAUUGGGCGUAAAGGGCGCGUAGGCGGCUCGAUAAGUCAAAGGUGAAAUCCCUCGGCUCAACUGAGGAAUUGCCUUUGAAACUGUCUGGCUCGAGGCCGGGAGGGGGUAGCGGAAUUCCCAGUGUAGCGGUGAAAUGCGUAGAUAUUGGGAGGAACACCGGUGGCGAAGGCGGCUACCUGGACCGGUUCUGACGCUGAUGCGCGAAAGCGUGGGGAGCAAACAGG